CACAUUAGUUCCUCCCCCAAUAGUUAACCAUAGUUUGUACAUACCUUGAUUUAUCCUUUUUAAAGGUUUUUUUUCCUUAAUGUGCUAAUGUAAAUUUCACUGAUAAUCUUAUUUUUUUAAAACUUUAAUAUAAACUAUGGAAAGAUUGCAGAAUAGUACAAAAAGUUUUAUGACCAUUACCCGGUACUUCUCAUUUGUCCCAUAUGUUUUAUUAUUCAUUUAUAGUCUUUCUCUCUUUCUCUUAUUCAUAUUAUGUAUGUUGCUUUGUGUGGAUAUAUGUAUAUGUCUCUAUAUCCUUUUUUUUUCUUUCCUCUGAAUCAUCACUUUGUUAGCAUGAUUGUCAGCCAGGCUUCUCCACUUCUCCACUAUAUUAAGUUACUCAUUUUCCUUUUGUAGUCAAUAAUUUAUCAAGGAAAUUGCUUGAAACUUCACUAACAUAGUUUUACUUUAUUUUAACCCCUAAAUACUUCAGAGUGUAUUGCCUAAAAGCAGAGACAUUUGUCAUUACUGUAACAUAAUUGUCACAAUCUGAAAAUUAAUCUGAAAUGUUUCCUCAGUCUUUGAUUCAUGACAUUUACAUUUUAAAAGAAUAUAGACAUAUUGUUGUGUAGGCUAUCCCUUACUUUGAGUUUAUCUGUUCCUUAUAAGUAGGUUUAGAUUGUGUGUUUUUGCAUGAAUACUGCAGGAGUUAUAUUCUUAGUGUAUCGUAUUAGAAGACAAAGGAUGUUGAUUUGUCAUAUUUUGUGUGUUAACUUUGGUCACUUGGUAAAGGUUGUGUUGCCAGGUUUUCGACUGUAAAUUCUCUGUUUUGCUCUUUGUAACUAGUAAGUCUUUUGUGGAGUGAUACUUUGAGGCCAUGCUAAUGUUAUUUUAACUCACAAACUUUAACCUGCAGCAUACAUUUGAUGGUUCUUGCCAAAAUUCAUUAUUGUAAGUUAUUAUAGAUGUAAAGUUGUGAUUUUCUAAUUUUAUUUUUGGAAUCAAGACUUCAUUCACAAGCUGCUUAAAAUGAACUGAUAACUCAUUCUUUUGUUGUUUUGUGUAACAACUUUUUUCUUGAAAGUUUGGUUGAUCUCACCUGUAAUGUCAUCUGGACCUGGAUUGGGAAUGGGGGAUAUAGAUGACUUUGUGGUUUCACUGCCUUUAAUUCUUGUGAUCAGUUUAGGUUCUCUAUUACUCUCAUACUAGUUUGGGGAUUUGGAUUUGUUCUGAUGCUCUUUUUCUAAUAUUUCGAGUUAGAUAAUUAACUUUUUUUUUUUCGUUUCUUUUUUAGGGCCACACUCAUGGCAUAUGGAGGUUCCCAGGCUAGGAAUCAAAUCCAAGCUCCAGCUGCCAGCCUACGCCACAGCCAUGGCAACACAGGAUCUGAGCCAUAUCUGUGACCUACAACACAGCUCAUGGCAAUGCCAGAUCCUUAACCCACACUAGUCGGGUUAGUUACUGCUGGGCCACGAUGGGAACCCCCUGUCAUAAUUUCUUUAUCCAUUCAUCUGUUGAUGUACCUUUUGGUUGACUAUUGUAAAUAGUGCUGCUGUGUACAUUGGGGUAUAUGUAUCCUUUAAAGAAAAUUGCCUUUUUUACUCCAGGUUUAUUUAAUGGUUUUAAAAGUUUAGUUUCUGGAGUUCCCAUUGUGGCUCAGUGGAUAACGAACCCAACUAGUAUCCAUGAGGCCUCAGGUUCGAUCCCUGCCCUGGCUCAGUCGGUUAAGGAUCCAGCAUUGCUGUGGCUGUGGUGUAGGCCGGCAGCUACAACUCUGAUUCAACCCCUAGCCUGGAAACUUCCUUAUGCCUCUGGUCCUGCCCUAAAAAGACAAAAAAAAGGAAAAGUUUAGUUUCUAAAAAUUAGCUACUCUUUUUUUAUUGUUUCUAAUUUUAUUAUAGAGAACAUAGUAUGUUUAGUAUGUUUCUUUGGAUAGUAUUGAGACUUCUUUUAUAAACUGAUUCAGAAAUUAGCAAACUAUUGGCCCAAGGGCAAAUUUGGCUCACUGCCAUCUUUUUAUAUAUCCUGUAACUUAAAAUGGUCUUUAUACUUCUAAAUGGUUAAAAGAAAUCCAUUGAUUAAUAUUUUGUAGCAGGUGAAAAAUAGAUGAGAUUAAAACCUCAGUGUCUAUAAAUAAAAGUUUAUUGGAACACAGCCGUGCUCAUUUAUUUUCACAUUGUCUUAGAUUCUUUUGUGAAUUGUGACAGAAACUUCAUGGCCCACAAA
rnacentral:lncRNA from 1 species